rnacentral:rRNA from 1 species
UACGGGGGGGGUAAGCGUUGUUCGGAAUUACUGGGCGUAAAGGGCUCGUAGGCGGCCAACUAAGUCAGACGUGAAAUCCCUCAGCUUAACUGGGGAACUGCGUCUGAUACUGGAUGGCUUGGAUCCGGGAGAGGGAUGCGGAAUUCCAGGUGUAGCGGUGAAAUGCGUAGAUAUCUGGAGGAACACCGGUGGUGAAGGCGGCAUCCUGGACCGGUAUUGACGCUGAGGAGCGAAAGCCAGGGGAGCAAACGGG